AAGAGGAGGAGGCAGAGCAGGAUGGAGGAAGUUCGGGAGGCAAGACAGGCCAGCGUCAUGGCCGCCAGAUGGAUGGAGUGCAUGGACUCAGGACGUUUGUUCAGCGCCCGGACAAACUGGAAGUUGAGAAUCCCACCGAUCAGCCCGCAGAUGCAGCACGCUGAGAAUAGAAUCAUCUUGGGGACACAGAAAAUUGUUUAUGUUAAUGAAAACUACAGAUUGAUAUACUGUCAACAAAACCAUAAACAAACUGACAAAAUGUGAUGAGAAGGAAGAUAACCAUACUGCUAUUGAGCUUCCAUCUCCAUCAUUCUGCUCUUUUGGCAAUGGCGGCUCUGAUGCCUUUAGUGUCUUUAACCGCAUGGAAAAAAAGACGUCUCCAAUUUCAGUCAUUACCCCAGUGAAGUGUGGAAAGCGGCUGGCAGGAGUCCGGGGCCAAACCGACCUAAUGCAAUCUUCACCCCACAGGCUGACAAGGAGGGAGUGCAUGGGAGCAUAUGAGGAGGGGAAGAUGGAGAGAAUCAGAGUGUAGAGACGGCUGUGAGGAUGAGAUUUUGCAUGGAAGGAGGAACGAUGAAAGAUAGAUAUACGAGAUUGAUGGAGAAGGGAACAGCAUGAAAAUAAGGAUGGUGACAGGGACAAAAGGUGCGGAUAAAUAGGGUGAGACAGAGGGAGAGGAAGGUUGAGAGAUGUCUCCGUUACAGCAGAUUGUGCUGACAUUGAUCCGUCAUUAGCACCCUCCCCGCAGGAGACAGAGAGAGUCAGAGAGAAACACGAGGACUCGGACACACAGAGAGACUGGGAGAGGAUCACUGAGGAAAUGAACGGGA